UUUCCUCUAAGGCCAGGAACAAGACAGGGGUGUCUACUCUCACCAUUACUAUUUAACACUGGAAAUCUUAGCCUCAGCAGCUGGACAACAAAAGGAAAUAAAGGGCAUCCAAAUCAGGAUUAAAAAAUCAAACUUUCACUAUUUGCAGGUGACAUGCUACUCUAUAUAGAAAACCUGAAAGGCUCCACCAAAAACCUGCUAGAACAGAUGUU